rnacentral:rRNA from 1 species
GGAAUCUUCGGCAAUGGGGGGCAACCCUGACCGAGCAACGCCGCGUGAGUGAAGAAGGUUUUCGGAUCGUAAAGCUCUGUUGUAAGAGAAGAACGUGUGUGAGAGUGGAAAGUUCACACAGUGACGGUAACUUACCAGAAAGGGACGGCUAACUACGUUCCACG